rnacentral:rRNA from 1 species
UACGGAGGGCGCGAGCGUUGUCCGGAAUCACUGGGUGUAAAGGGCGCGUAGGCGGCCCUGGUAAGUCUGCGGUGAAAGCCCGGGGCUCAACCCCGGGUCGGCCGCGGGUACUGCCGGGCUGGAGUGCCGUAGGGGCAGGCGGAAUUCCGGGUGUAGCGGUGGAAUGCGUAGAGAUCCGGAAGAACACCGGUGGCGAAGGCGGCCACCUGGACGGUAACUGACGCUGAGACGCGAAAGCGUGGGGAGCAAACAGG